UACGAAGGGGGCUAGCGUUGUUCGGAAUUACUGGGCGUAAAGGGCGCGUAGGCUGUGCUGUAAGUCAGGCGUGAAAGCCCCGGGCUCAACCUGGGAAUUGCGCUUGAUACUGCGGCGCUGGAAGGUGGGAGAGGAUGGCGGAAUUCCCAGUGUAGAGGUGAAAUUCGUAGAUAUUGGGAAGAACACCGGUGGCGAAGGCGGCCAUCUGGCCCACAAUUGACGCUGAGGCGCGAAAGCGUGGGGAGCAAACAGGAGUUAGAAACCCUUGUAC
rnacentral:rRNA from 1 species